UGAGGAAUUUUGCGCAAUGGGAGCAAUCCUGACGCAGCAACGCCGCGUGGGUGAUGAAGGCCUUCGGGUCGUAAAGCCCUGUCAGGUGGGAAGAAUGUCCCGGAAUUGAACAGGUUUCGGGAGUGACGGUACCACCAGAGGAAGCACCGGCUAACUCCGUGCCAGCAGCCGCGGUAAUACGGAGGGUGCAAGCGUUCUUCGGAAUUACUGGGCGUACAGCGCGUGUAGGCGGUCCUGCAAGUCUGAUGUGAAAGCCCCGGGCUUAACCCGGGAAGUGCAGUGGAAACUGCAGUGCUUGAGUACUGGAGAGGAUGGGGGAAUUCCCGGUGUAGAGGUGAAAUUCGUAGAGAUCGGGAGGAAUAUCAGUGGCGAAGGCGCCCAUCUGGACGGUAACUGACGCUGAGACGCGAAAGCGUGGGGAGCAAACA
rnacentral:rRNA from 1 species